AGCAGCAGCCACGGUAAUACAGAGGGUGCAAGCGUUAAUCGGAUUUACUGGGCGUAAAGGGCGCGUAGGUGGUUAUGUAAGUGAGAUGUGAAAUCCCCGGGCUCAACCUGGGAACUGCAUCUUAUACUGCGUAGCUGGAGUGCAGUAGAGGGUAGUGGAAUUUCCGGUGUAGCGGUGAAAUGCGUAGAUAUCGGAAGGAACACCAGUGGAGAAGGCGGCUACCUGGACUGACACUGACACUGAGGCGCGAAAGCGUGGGGAGCAAACAGGAUUAGAUACCCCGGUAGUCCCUGUCUCUUAUAC
rnacentral:rRNA from 1 species